rnacentral:rRNA from 1 species
CCUACGGGAGGCAGCAGUGAGGAAUAUUGGUCAAUGGACGAGAGUCUGAACCAGCCAAGUAGCGUGAAUGAUGACUGCCCUAUGGGUUGUAAACUUCUUUUAUAUGGGAAUAAAAUGUUCCACGUGUGGGAUUUUGUAUGUACCAUAUGAAUAAGGAUCGGCUAACCCCGUGCCAGCAGCCGCGGUAAUAUGGAGGAUCCGAGCGUUAUCCGGAUAUAUUGGGUUUAAAGGGAGCGUAGGUGGAUUGUUAAGUCAGUUGUGAAAGUUUGGGGCUCAACCGUAAAAUUGCAUUUGAUACUGGCAGUCUUGAGUACAGUAGAGGUGGGCGGAAUUCGAGGUGUAGCGGUGAAAUGCUUAGAGAUCUCGAAGAACUCCGAAUGCGAAGGCAGCUCACUGGACUGCAACUGACACUGAGGCGCGAAAGUGUGGGGAGCAAACAGGAUUAGAUACCCGAGUAGUC